UUUACAUCUAAUGGAGUAUUUUUAGAGUGUGGUAUUAGCACUUAUACUUAAGUUAAGGAUCUAAAUACUUCUUCCACCCCUGCAUA